GAGCAAGGAAAAAUAUUUGAAGUAAUUGAGAGAACUAAGGACUCUGAUAAUUUUUAUUCAUAAUUCUGAAAGUCUUAAAUAGACUUAAUACUCAACUGAAAUACUACAAACUAGGAACACGAUCUGCUAACUCCUAACAAAUUCAACUAAUAGAAACAGAAUGGAAAUACUACUUCCUAAAGACUAGGACAAUUCUAACAACUUUAUUCCAACAGUCCCUCCCUUAAACUGAUGUUUACAAACAUUCAGUUUAGAGCUUUUGAUGUGCAG
rnacentral:lncRNA from 1 species